GAUGAAGAACGCAGCAAAAUGCGAUAAGUAAUGUGAAUUGCAGAAUUCAGUGAAUCAUCGAAUCUUUGAACGCACAUUGCGCCCGCCAGUAUUCUGGCGGGCAUGCCUGUUCGAGCGUCAUUUCAACCCUCAAGCCCUCGGGUUUGGUGUUGGGGAUCGGCGAGCCUUUCUGGCAAGCCGGCCCCGAAAUCUAGUGGCGGUCUCGCUGCAGCCUCCAUUGCGUAGUAGUAAAACCCUCGCAACUGGAACGCGGCGCGGCCAAGCCGUUAAACCCCCAACUUCUGAAUGUUGACCUCGGAUCAGGUAGGAAUACCCGCUGAACUUAAGCAUAUCAAUAAGCGGA
rnacentral:misc_RNA from 1 species